ACUCAAAUGAAUUGACGGGGACCCGCACAAGCAGCGGAGCGUGUGGUUUAAUUCGAGGCUACGCGCAGAACCUUACCAGGGAUUGACAUGACCGUGGUAGUGAAGCGAAAGCGGAACGACCCUUCGGGGAGCGGCCACAGGUGAUGCAUGGCUGUCGUCAGCUCGUGCCGUGAGGUGUUUGGUUAAGUCCACUAACGAGCGCAACCCUUAGCCCCAGUUACACGUGUCUGGUGCGACUGCCGGUCUUAAGCCGGAGGAAGGUGGGGAUGACGUCAAGUCCGCAUGUCCUUUAUACCCUGGGCGACACACACGCUACAAUGGCCAGCACAGUCGGUUGCCAAGCCGCAAGGCGGAGCCAAUCCAAAAAAGCUGGUCUCAGUUCGGAUUGCCGGCUGCAACCCGCCGGCAUGAAGUCGGAGUUGCUAGUAACCGCAGGACAGCCAUACUGCGGUGAAUACGUUCCCGGGUCUUGCACACACCGCCCGU
rnacentral:rRNA from 1 species